GCGGAGGGAUCAGUUGGUGACAGGGCAGGGCGUGUCUGGGCGGGGCAUGCCAGGGCCCUUUAACUGAGCGGCAAGGCUGAGUCAGCCAUUUACAGCGGCGGAGCGCAACACAGAGGACUUAUGUCAGAAGCUGAGGCAAGCGUUGGGAUGGCCCACGAUGCUGGGCCUGAUGAAAAGACAUUGCAGGUGUUGCGGGACAUGGCCAACCGCCUGCGAAUCCGUUUUAUCAGGACCACAAGUUCCUCGACCACUAGCUAUCUCACACCAUGCAGCAGUGCUGCUGAGAUCAUGUCUGUGCUAUUUUUCUAUACAAUGAGAUAUAAACAGGAAGACCCUGAAAACCCAGACAAUGACCGAUGCAUCCUUUCAAAGGUAUGGUGAUGGGAAUACUGCUGCUUGUUGUUUUUGUUUGCUUGGAGUUUUGGGGGUUUUUUUGUUUAUUUGUUUAUUUUGGCAGUGGGGCUUUGUUGGUCUUGUUUGGAUUUUUUUCCCGUUUUUCAGA
rnacentral:lncRNA from 1 species